CCCUUGUGGCGACCUCUGCAGCCUCAGAGCUCUGGCUCUCAAAACAGCGGAGGGGAGAGGGCUGGGCGUGGAACAAAGCCAGGUGGGGAGCGCAGACACUGAACCAAAACAGCUGAGAGAUUUAAGAGAAGCUUGGAGAGAGAAUGUUAACUCCUUGAAGGCAGAACAAUUUGUCAUUCUGUUUUACGGACUCAUCUUCAUAUAUGGGAGCAGACUAGUAAGUGAUGAUGGGAAUCUGUCCAAGUGGGUGUAAAGAAAAGAAAGAAAGAAGCAGAAUCAGAAGGAGAAGAAGGAGAAGAAGCAGCCCUCUGCCCAGUUCCUACCCUGACGGAUGUCCCUCAGGACCAUGUUACAGAAAAAGGGUUUCAGGGUAUGUGAAAGUGGUUAUGUCACUGUGAGAAGUGAGGUGUAAAUAUCCCCUGAAGCCACCAGUCAGGAAACCUGGCUUUUAGCUCUCUCACUAUUGUCAGGUAGCUGCUUGGCCUAGGCCAAAUUACUUCACCUUUCCGGUUCUCAAGCUCUUUACCUAUAAAGUGAGAGUGUUGGUCAGUGGCUCCCAACCCUAGCAUAGCAACUAUUUUGCAAAGCCCCAGGAUUAUCCUAAAGUAAAAUUCAAAAGCAAAAUCAUCUCAAUGAUAUAAUCUAUCUAUACUUAUAAUUUAAAAAGUAAAUGUAAUGUACUAAUCGUGACAUGAAGGAGGAAUAAAAGUAAUUUAUAAUAAAAUAAUUUUUAAAAU
rnacentral:lncRNA from 12 species